rnacentral:lncRNA from 1 species
ACAGUCCUCUCUAGGACUGUUUUGAGGUCUAGGGCAGAACGAAGGGGUGCUGUUUUCUUUGUGUUUCUUGAACCUGAGGUGACUUUUCAUGGUUUCACACAUGGCAAGCUGACAAUUAGCUUUUGCAUCGUCACUCCUUCCUUCCUUCACAGCUGGUGGAAUCGAGGGAAAAUCUUUAAAACAGAUUGGCUGAUUAUCGUAGCCAUAAAUUCAAGCUGGAGAACGGGUGAAGAGAGAGAGAGAGGCAAGGAACAUUAUGGAAAAACAUCUAUUUGGUGUCGACGCAAGAACUGCCAGCUACUUCAUGUAAGAUCUGCUGCUGUUCUCCUGGCAGAACCACAGAAGCAAAAAAGUGGGAGAGCAACAAGCUGGAUUUUAGUCGGUACAUGCUCGAGCGACUCCUGAACUCGAGAAACACACAAAACCACCGCUAACCUUGUGGCACUGCAGGAGUGAGGCUUUGAAGAUUCUUUUCCAGAAACAACAAGUCUUAAGGCAAAAAUAAGACAGCUAGAAAUUGCCUGCUGCCAGCAGAGCUGAAGACGCCAUAACAUUUUCUAGUACAGGAAGUGUUCAAUAUUUUAAGAGCAGUGACCAUGUAUUAAUGUAUUUAUGCCCUUAGGGUUAUAGAAGUCCUCCACUCAGAAUAUUCUCCACCCCAGAUCACAGGACUGCUAAUAUUUCCACUGCAGUGUCAUGCUUUUCAACAGUGUAUGUUACUGUAUGCACAUACUCAAGGAUAAAUUGGUACCUGUCUUUAAGAUAAAAUCAGGUCCAAAGACACUCACUGAGAAUGUAACACUUGCGGGAGAGGGAAUGUCUCUUCCUAAGUUUUCAUGCAGGGACUUGUACAAUUGAACUAGUAGUCCUCACCGGAGCUCAAGGUCUGACUGAGAAAUAAUUAAUGGUUCUUACGGUAACAGUGAAACAGUGAAACCUCCUCAUCUGGGGAAUACAAUCUUUGGAAAUCAUAACGCCAAAAGAAUAACAAUGUCACAACACCCAUUUGGACGGAUGCAUGGAACGGCAGAGAAUAUAAGAAAUAUACAUUUACUUUCCA